rnacentral:rRNA from 1 species
AAACUUUCAACAACGGAUCUCUUGGUUCUGGCAUCGAUGAAGAACGCAGCGAAACUGCGAUAAGUAAUGUGAAUUGCAGAAUUCAGCGAACCAUCGAAUCUUUGAACGCACAUUGCGCCCGCCAGCAUUCUGGCGGGCAUGCCUGUCCGAGCGUCAUUU